rnacentral:rRNA from 1 species
GUGCAUGCGGCAGCUACCAUGCAGUCGAGCGGUAACAGAUCCAGCUUGCUGGAUGCUGACGAGCGGCGGACGGGUGAGUAAUGCAUAGGAAUCUGCCCGAUAGUGGGGGAUAACCUGGGGAAACCCAGGCUAAUACCGCAUACGUCCUACGGGAGAAAGGGGGCUUCGGCUCCCGCUAUCGGAUGAGCCUAUGUCGGAUUAGCUAGUUGGUGAGGUAACGGCUCACCAAGGCCACGAUCCGUAGCUGGUCUGAGAGGAUGAUCAGCCACAUCGGGACUGAGACACGGCCCGAACUCCUACGGGAGGCAGCAGUGGGGAAUAUUGGACAAUGGGGGGAACCCUGAUCCAGCCAUGCCGCGUGUGUGAAGAAGGCCCUCGGGUUGUAAAGCACUUUCAGCGAGGAAGAACGCCUAGCGGUUAAUACCCGCUAGGAAAGACAUCACUCGCAGAAGAAGCACCGGCUAACUCCGUGCCAGCAGCCGCGGUAAUACGGAGGGUGCAAGCGUUAAUCGGAAUUACUGGGCGUAAAGCGCGCGUAGGUGGCUUGAUAAGCCGGUUGUGAAAGCCCCGGGCUCAACCUGGGAACGGCAUCCGGAACUGUCAAGCUAGAGUGCAGGAGAGGAAGGUAGAAUUCCCGGUGUAGCGGUGAAAUGCGUAGAGAUCGGGAGGAAUACCAGUGGCGAAGGCGGCCUUCUGGACUGACACUGACACUGAGGUGCGAAAGCGUGGGUAGCAAACAGGAUUAGUCCUUU